CUAGCGUAGAAUUAAUUUUUCAAGAUAGAUUAUUGAUAGAGUUCAUGCACUUCGCACUAAUUUGUAUAGGCCAGGCUUUAAAUUACGUAUCAGGUUCGUCAGAAUUAAUUCUAUUCCGCUUCUGCAUUUCCCGCAGAUUUGGUAUCGGACGAUUCCAUGAGUUAAAAUCACUGGGUCGGGUCGAAUUAAUUAAUGGACAUUUAUCCGAUAAUUUAUCGGCUUCAAAAAUUUGGCUGUUUCUGUUCGGUAUUUCCUUGCGAUCCAUGUGUUUUGAUACUCUGUCAUCGUUUGUUUUGUACAAUUCUCCUUCUAUGAAAAGUUUAUCUCUUAUCAAAACAGCUUUUUUUCGGUCUUUCUUUGCCUGCUUUAAAACAGGAUAUAGGCUUUUCCUCUUCUUUUCAAUUUUUACAGGAAAUUGUGCGCGGACAGAAAUAUUUGUCCCCUUUAAUUUGUGACAGUUCCUCAUGACUAACUGUUUAUCUUUCAAAGAUACAAACUUAGUCAUUAUAUUUUGUCUUUGCUUUCCGAAACGAUGUACAGAAACGAAAUUCAUAUUUUCAACGAUUCCGAGUUUUUUGCGGAUAAAAUCCCUUACAAUGUUCUCUGUAUCCUCAUUUGGCUCGUGCUUUAAUCCGGAUAUAAUGAUAUUGUUAGUCAUUGAUCUCCAUUGUAACUCUUCGACAUCGCUCUCCAUAUUUGACAAUCGGUCAUUGACGCAUUUUAUAUCGAAUGUGUUUUCUUUGUUAUCUUUUGCUUCUUCUAGCAAUGAUAUUUUCGACACAUUUUCUUUGCAGCGAUCUAUAAUUUUAUGCACAACCGUACUCAUUUGUUCUCCUUUUUCUUCGAUCAUUUUAUUUCGGUUAAACACAAUUUUGCACUUCUGUUCUACGUGUUCAAUUCUUGUUAUCAUUGCGUCUAAUUUCCCCUCAAAUUGCGAUAUCCUUGAAACUUCCCGCUCAAGCUUUCCACAUUUUGUCUGGAGAUCUGCCACGACAGCAAGUACAGAGUUUAAUAUAGAGAUAGUUUUGGUAUCAAGUUCUUUGUAUUCCGACAUUAUUAUUCAAAAUAUAUUUGAUAAAGUUAUUGUUGUUGCAAUUGAACGCCGAGAGAACAAUGGAGAACAAUCAAUCGCCGCUAACAACCCGACGACGUUAGCAACAUUAGCAAAUCUCUUGUAGUAAACGAAAUAUUCAGAAUAUUUUUCAUUAUUGUCGUGAAAUCUGUGAAGUUGUUGAAAAAUUAAUUUUACCGUUCGAAUAAAAUCCUUAAAAUCUGUGACUCCAGUCCAUUUGUUAAGUUUAUAUGCUGACCUAGAUCUUGCUAGUUAGAGUUUUUGCAGGAGCAAAAAAAGCAUGACUGUCCUUGCCAGUACUUCCGCC
rnacentral:lncRNA from 1 species